AGAGUUUGAUCAUGGCUCAGGAUGAACGCUGGCGGCGUGCCUAACACAUGCAAGUCGAGCGAUCUUCUUCGGAAGAGAGCGGCGGACGGGUGAGUAACGCGUGGGUAACCUGCCCUAUACACACGGAUAACAUACCGAAAGGUAUGCUAAUACGAGAUAAUAUAAGAGAUUCACAUGGAUUUCUUAUCAAAGCUGAGGCGGUAUAGGAUGGACCCGCGUCUGAUUAGCUAGUUGGUAAGGUAACGGCUUACCAAGGCGACGAUCAGUAGCCGACCUGAGAGGGUGAUCGGCCACAUUGGAACUGAGACACGGUCCAAACUCCUACGGGAGGCAGCAGUGGGGAAUAUUGCACAAUGGGCGAAAGCCUGAUGCAGCAACGCCGCGUGAGUGAUGAAGGCCUUCGGGUCGUAAAACUCUGUCCUCAAGGAAGAUAAUGACGGUACUUGAGGAGGAAGCCCCGGCUAACUACGUGCCAGCAGCCGCGGUAAUACGUAGGGGGCUAGCGUUAUCCGGAUUUACUGGGCGUAAAGGGUGCGUAGGUGGUCUCUUAAGUCAGGAGUGAAAGGCUACGGCUUAACCGUAGUAAGCUCUUGAAACUGGGAGACUUGAGUGCAGGAGAGGAAAGUGGAAUUCCUAGUGUAGCGGUGAAAUGCGUAGAUAUUAGGAGGAACACCAGUAGCGAAGGCGGCUUUCUGGACUGUAACUGACACUGAGGCACGAAAGCGUGGGGAGCAAACAGGAUUAGAUACCCUGGUAGUCCACGCCGUAAACGAUGAGUACUAGGUGUCGGGGGUUACCCCCCUCGGUGCCGCAGCUAACGCAUUAAGUACUCCGCCUGGGGAGUACGCUCGCAAGAGUGAAACUCAAAGGAAUUGACGG
rnacentral:rRNA from 1 species